UACGUAGGGUGCAAGCGUUGUCCGGAAUCAUUGGGCGUAAAGCGCGUGUAGGCGGCUUGCUAAGUCCGCUCUGAAAGCCCGGGGCUCAACCCCGGGAGGCGGGUGGAUACUGGCAAGCUCGAGUCCGGAAGAGGCGAGUGGAAUUCCAGGUGUAGCGGUGAAAUGCGUAGAUAUCUGGAGGAACACCGGUGGCGAAGGCGGCAUCCUGGACCAACACUGACACUGAGGAGCGAAAGCCAGGGGAGCAAACGGG
rnacentral:rRNA from 1 species